AUUGAACGCUGGCGGCAUGCUUUACACAUGCAAGUCGAACGGUAACAGGGUGCUUGCACCGCUGACGAGUGGCGAACGGGUGAGUAAUGCGCCGGAACGUGCCGAGUAGUGGGGGAUAACGCAGCGAAAGUUGUGCUAAUACCGCAUACGUACUGAGGUAGAAAGUGGGGGACCUUCGGGCCUCACGCUAUUCGAGCGGCCGACGUCUGAUUAGCUAGUAGGUGAGGUAAAGGCUCACCUAGGCGAAGACCAGUAGCGGGUCUGAGAGGAUGAUCCGCCACACGGGGACUGAGACACGGCCCAGACUCCUACGGGAGGCAGCAGUGGGGAAUUUUGGACAAUGGGCGAAAGCCUGAUCCAGCCAUGCCGCGUGUCUGAAGAAGGCCUUCGGGUUGUAAAGGACUUUUGUCAGGGAGGAAAUCCCUAGUGCUAAUAACACUGGGGGAUGACAGUACCUGAAGAAUAAGCACCGGCUAACUACGUGCCAGCCGCCGCAGUAA
rnacentral:rRNA from 1 species